rnacentral:sRNA from 1 species
AAGCCGCCACCGCCGCGAUGUGGGCCACGCUGCCGCUGCUCUGCGCCGGGGCCUGGCUCCUGGGAGUCCCCGUCUGCGGUGCCGCCGAACUGUCCGUGAACUCCUUAGAGAAGUUUCACUUCAAGUCAUGGAUGUCUAAGCACCGUAAGACCUACAGCACGGAGGAGUACCACCACAGGCUGCAGACGUUUGCCAGCAACUGGAGGAAGAUAAACGCCCACAACAAUGGGAACCACACAUUUAAAAUGGCACUGAACCAAUUUUCAGACAUGAGCUUUGCUGAAAUAAAACACAAGUAUCUCUGGUCAGAGCCUCAGAAUUGCUCAGCCACCAAAAGUAACUACCUUCGAGGUACUGGUCCCUACCCACCUUCCGUGGACUGGCGGAAAAAAGGAAAUUUUGUCUCACCUGUGAAAAAUCAGGUAUGCCUGGCAAUCUCCAUCCUCUCCCUGCAAAACAGCCACACUCCCAGACAAUACACCAGGAAGAACAACUCAAAAGGUCCACAAAACCACCACAAGCACAUCCCUGCCUCUGUUUCCUCUCAGCAUCUCUC